rnacentral:rRNA from 1 species
UACGGAGGAGGCAAGCGUUAUCCGGAAUUAUUGGGCGUAAAGCGUCCGCAGGUGGCGAUUCAAGUCUGCGGUUAAAGACUGGGGCUUAACCCUGGAAAGGCCGUGGAAACUGAAACGCUAGAGUGCAGUAGGGGUAGAGGGAAUUCCCGGUGUAGCGGUGAAAUGCGUAGAGCUCGGGAAGAACAUCGGUGGCGAAAGCACUCUGCUGGACUGCAACUGACACUCAGGGACGAAAGCUAGGGGAGCGAAUGGG